UACGGGGGGGGCAAGCGUUGUUCGGAAUUACUGGGCGUAAAGGGUUCGUAGGUGGCCUACUAAGUCAUACGUGAAAUCCCUCAGCUUAACUGGGGAACUGCGUCUGAGACUGGAAGGCUUGAGUGCAGGAGAGGAACGCGGAAUUCCAGGUGUAGCGGUGAAAUGCGUAGAUAUCAGGAGGAACGCCGGAGGCGAAAGCGAGUGACUGGCGCGUUCCUGACGCUGAGGUGCAAAAGCUAGGGGAGCAAACAGG
rnacentral:rRNA from 1 species